AAGUCGUAACAAGGUCUCCGUAGGUGAACCUGCGGAGGGAUCAUUACCAGAAGCCGCGUCGCGGCCCCUCGGGGCCCGGCGCCUUCGCCCAACCCUUUGUGAACCGAUAUCAAUUUCCUCGGGGGACCCCCCGGGCCUCCGGGCCCGCGGACCCCCGGUGGACAUCUCCAACUCUUGAUGUAACUGCCGUCCGAGUACAAUGCAAAUGAAACAAAACUUUCAACAACGGAUCUCUUGGUUCUG
rnacentral:misc_RNA from 1 species